UCUCUGAUUUUUACCUGGUGAUACUGAUCUGCUUUUCAAAUUUGUUGAUGCUGAACUUCUGCUUUAUCUUGUGAUGCAUUUAUAAUUGUUUUGAUCACUCCUGUUGCUGUUAGAUGUUCUGGGAGUCCUAGUUGAAGAAUGUGGCAUAAAUGUUUAAAAUAAAAUACAUAAAUAAGGGGGUGCAGGGAGGGGAAAGAAAGAAAGUUUAACAGAGAAUGAAGGCUGGAUGAGUUUUGUGGAUGGAACUCAUGUCCUCACAAUAUUAAAAAUAAGUCAAAAUAGAAAAUCAGAAAAAGAAUAAAGAAAUUUCCCCACCUUGAUGACUUCUUGCUCUCCCUUCUCCUGCUCCUAGGACUGUUGGUGGUCCUACUGGCUUCUGAGAAGGGAGGUAGAUUCCAGGUGGAGUUUUUUUGGGGGGGGGGUUAUGCCAAUGAAUCAGUGAGGGAUCAAAGGGUUAAUCCCCUUCAUCUUGAGAAAUGGCCCCGAUUCAGUCAGUCCCCCACCCUUCUGGUGCAUUUCGGGGGGGGGGGGGAAGUAACACUGGAAGGUCCAGUCAUAGGGAGGAGAAUUAGUCUUGUGGUAGUGAGUAUGAAUUGUCCCCUUUGCUAAGCAGGCUCAGUUUGCAUUCGGAUUGGAGGCUACAUGUGUGUGUUGUAAGAUUUUCUCCUUAGGGGAUGGGGCCGUAUCUCAGUGGUAGAACAUCGGCAUCUUUGCAUGCAGAAGGUCCCAGGUUCAAUCCCUGGCAGCAUCUCCAGGUAGGGCUGGGAGAGACUCCUGCCUGCAACCUUGGAGAAAGUGCUGCCAAUCUGUGUAGACGAUACUGAGCUUGAUGGAUCAAGGGUCUGCCUCGGAAAAGGCCGCUUCCAAUGUUCCUGAGUUCCUAAUCAUGGAAUCCCAACAUCUGCGGCAGUUAAGCCUUGCAUUAAAAUUAGAAUACUGGGUUAAACUUGUACGAAAAAUUGCUUUUCCUUAGCUAACGAGGUGGCAUGACCCUCUUGAUAUAAUAAUUAGAAAGGUAGUCUGCCGAAUGAUUUGGGUUGUGUGCUCCUGCAGUAGAGGAUGAAGUUUGGUUUAGAAUCCAGAUUAACGUUGACUGAACAGACUUCCAAAGCCAAAUUGUCAUACAUCAGAAUUGUUUCCUUAUCAUUACCUUGUAUCUCUCAUCUGGGGCAAUGAAUUAUUUAGCUGUUUUCUUCUGCACAGCUAGCUAUUUAUACACGUUGGUAGUGAGAUGUCUACAGAUUGCCUUUAAAAUGUGUCCUCUCAACUUUCUGUGGUUUCUUCACCUCCUCCAUUACUGAACAAUAGACAUUUUAUGAGUGCUAAUAUUUACAUAAAAGCUAAUUAGAGGCUGUAUGUAAUUGCAGUGAUUAACCCCCAUUGCUGAGCAAAAGGCCCCUCUUGAGACCUCCCCGUCAACUUUUAAAAAUUUGUUUACAAUUGUAAAACGGAAUUUAGAGAUUCUAACUCCACACUCCCGAGUAACCAGCUCACUUUUUAUUUAAAUGAAAUUUUCAUGGCUUUAAAAUCCAAUUUAAAUAUUCAUGAUGAGAAUGCUUCUGAUUUAGGAAGAAAUGCAUGCAUUAGACAGAAACUUGAUUAAAUUCAAUGCUGUUUUAAUGGAAAACAGGUAAACACUUGAUUAGUGGCCGGUACAAAUCGGUUUUAAUUUACAUUAAAACUACUUCCUCCCUUUGAACCCACUGAGUCUCGCUCACUUCAUUUUCAGUUCCUUGACAUAAAUAAUUUCAGUAUUGUUAUUCUAUUCCUAAUGACAUUCAGUGGAAUCUUAUCAUAUAUUCCCACACAGGAUUUGGAAGUUCAGGUUCAGAAAGAAGAAACGAAAAGGCAGUUACAAGCAAAGAAGAAGAAGAAGAAGAAGAAGAAGAAGAAGAAGAAGAAGAAGAAGAAGAAGAAGAAGAAGAAGGAUAUUUGGAUCCCACUGUACCUUAUUUUAAAACUUUUAGUGUUGGGCUCUUUUGCACUUGAUAAAAGGUGCUCCUGGAACUUUUCACCUUGGAAUGUCAAAGUGGUAGAAUAUUUGAGGGAGAGUUUUCUUCCAGAGGCCAGAGAUACCUUCCUUGAGUUGCCCCCAUGAACUGAGAUCAGGUCCAUCAUCCUGCCCCACCACGGCCAGCCAGAUGCCUCUGGGAAGCCCACCAGCAGGGCAUGAGACAACAGACCUCUCCUACAGUUGCUCCUCAAGAACCAGUCUUUAGUGGCAUACUACCUCUGAUUAUGGAGCUUCUCUUUCACAACCAAGACCUCAAGCUGUUGAUACACUUCUCCUUUCCAUACUUGGCUAAUCCCCUUUUGAAGCCAUCCUAAACUCGUGUCUAUCAUCAUGUCAUGUGGCAGUGAGUUCCAUCAAUCAAUUAUGUGCUUGGUGAAGAAGGAUUUCGAUGCAUGUUGCUUCUGAACCUCUUGCCAAUUAACUUCAUUGGAUGACCCCAAAUCUAUUCUUGAGGGGUGGGGUGGGGGGAGAGAAAGACUGCUGUCUGUCUUCACCCUAAAUUAAUAAUAGUAUUUCCUCUGUCUUCAUCAUCAUCGUCAUCAUCAUCAUCAUCAGAUUUUAUAUGAUUGUCUCUACUGCGGCUUCUUUGUAUUUUGUACAGUUUUUAUGUUUGUAUUUUAAAUCUUUUUAAUCAGAUUUGUUUAUAUUUUAGCUUAAUAUUUUAAUUGUGUCAUUUUUUAUAGUCUUAUUUUUAAUUUUUGUGUAAACCGCCUUGGGAUUGUUUUAAGGAAAGGCAGUAUAUAAAUGUAACAAUAAUUUUUUUAAAAAGUCAUCAUCAUUAUCAUCACUACUACUACUACACAAGUAUUUCUAUAUCAUUCUUCAACAAAUAUUUAUACGCCACUCUUCAACUCUUCAAUUUAAAUUGGUUUUUAAUUUGU